rnacentral:rRNA from 1 species
AUUGAACGCUGGCGGCAGGCCUAACACAUGCAAGUCGAGCGGAUGAAGGGAGCUUGCUCCUGGAUUUAGCGGCGGACGCGUGUGUAAUGCCUAGGAAUCUGCCUGGUAGUGGGGGAUAACGUCCGGAAACGGGCGCUAAUACCGCAUACGUCCUGAGGGAGAAAGUGGGGGAUCUUCGGACCUCACGCUCUCAGAUGAGCCUAGGUCGGAUUAGCUAGUUGGUGGGGUAAAGGCCUACCAAGGCGACGAUCCGUAACUGGUCUGAGAGGAUGAUCAGUCACACUGGAACUGAGAAACGGUCCAGGGUCCUACGGGAGGCAGCAGUGGGGAAUAUGGGACAAUGGGCGAAAGCAUGAUCCAGCCAGGCCGCGUGUGAGAAGAAGGUGUUCGGAUUGUAAAGCACGUUAAGUUGGGAGGAAGGGCAGUAAGUUAAUACCUUGCUGUUUUGACGUUACCAACAGAAUAAGCACCGGCUAACUUCGUG